rfam:Schistosoma haematobium scaffold477_10, whole genome shotgun sequence.
GCACUGCUGAGGAGUCCCAUACCAGGACGAAACGGCCGUCCAGCGC